rnacentral:rRNA from 1 species
UGCGUAGGCGGCUUUUUAAGUCGGAUGUGAAAUCCCUGAGCUUAACUUAGGAAUUGCAUUCGAUACUGGCAGGCUAGAGUCUUGUAGAGGGGGGUAGAAUUCCAGGUGUAGCGGUGAAAUGCGUAGAGAUCUGGAGGAAUACCGAUUGCGAAGGCAGCCCCCUGGACAGUGACUGACGCUCAUAUGCGAAAGCGUGGGGAUCAAACAGGAUUAGAUACCCUUGUA